UGUGGUGCUCAGUGUUGUUUUUAUUUUCAAACGCAUUUCUAGGUUCCUUUUUGUUCUUUCCCCUUCUGUUCCCUAAACUUCUACUGUAAAUAGUAUAUUAUAUGAAGUGAAAAGGUUCUAAACCUAUAUCGUGAUAUAGUGUAACAACAAUGCAUCAAUUGUUGAAACGUUCCUUAUGUGCAAUUGGACCGAAAGACAGCUCCAAGCGAUGGGUGAUAGCUCCGGCCCAAAAGAUGUUCCACACGGCAAGGCCGACCUUAUCGGAGGAGGGUAGUGCGAGCCGGCUACAAUCUUCUCCGGAAACCACUCCGUCAUCGACAGCGGCAGAAGCAUCGACAGCUGAUAAGAACAAAUCGAACAGUCAACGCGAUCGGAAGCAACGCGCGAACGAACAGUUGUCUGCUAACUUCUCCUCAACGCUUAUCGACACCUUUGGACGGUUUCACAGCUAUCUGCGAAUAUCGCUGACGGAACGGUGCAACCUACGCUGCAAGUACUGUAUGCCCGCCGAAGGUGUACAACUGACCCAGAAAGAUCAGCUACUAACGAGUGCCGAGGUGAUACGGCUGGCGAACCUCUUCGUGACGGAAGGUGUGCGGAAGAUACGGCUGACCGGUGGUGAACCAACGGUGCGCAAAGAUUUAACCGAGAUCGUUGCCAAGCUGAAGGCCACCAAUCCAUUGUUGGAAAGUGUCGGAAUUACUACAAACGGACUCAUGUUAACGCGGCAGCUGGUCGGAUUGCAGCGAGCCGGGCUCGAUGCACUCAACGUCAGUCUGGACACGCUGAAGGCGGCCCGAUACGAGCAGAUAACCCGCCGGAAGGGUUGGGACCGGGUGAUGGCCGGCAUUGAUCUGGCGAUCCAGCUGGGCUAUCGGCCAAAGGUGAACUGUGUGCUGAUGAAGGGCUUCAACGAUGAUGAGAUUUGUGACUUUGUCGAGUUGACGCGCGAUCGCGACGUGGACGUGCGGUUCAUCGAGUACAUGCCCUUUACCGGCAACCGGUGGGACACGGACAAGAUGGUGUCGUACCGCACGAUGCUCGAUACGAUACGGGCCCGGUACCCGGCGUUCGAGCCGCUACCGAACGGGCCGAACGAUACGUCGAAAGCGUACCAGGUGCCGGGGUACCGGGGCCAGAUGGGCUUCAUUACCUCGAUGACGGAACACUUCUGUGGCAGCUGUAACCGGUUGCGGAUCACGGCCGACGGUAACCUGAAGGUGUGCCUGUUCGGCAAUACCGAGGUGUCGCUGCGCGAUGCGCUACGCAGUCCCGGGUGCUCGGAGGACGAUCUGCGCUGCCUCAUCUCGGCUGCCGUCAAGCGCAAAAAGAAACAGCACGCAGGAAUGCUCAAUCUUUCCCAGAUGGAAAACCGACCGAUGAUACUGAUCGGUGGGUAGGUUGGCGGCCGGCAUCGAUGGAGCAAAGCGGCAUCGAGCACUAGUAUCACCAACCCCCCCGCACACAAUUUGAUACGUGACCGUUUACCGUAGGUUAUAGAGACAGCAGCAGGGAGCAUCGCCACUUUCGACAUCAUUUGUACACAACUCAUCACACCGACCCACAACACUACUGCUGGCACACGAUGGAGGCCUCCACCGUCGGCACUACACGUCCCUCAGUCACGUGGACGAACAUACCGGCCGGGCGACGAUGGUCGACGUCGACGAUAAGGUAUCCACGAAGCGAGUUGCCAAAGCGCAAGCCACCGUCUACGUAGGGCCCACCAUUGCGGCACUGAUCGAAAACAAUGAGCUAAAGAAGGGAGACGUCCUCUCGAUCUCACAGAUGGCCGCAAUCGUAGCGGCCAAGAAAACGUCCGACCUAAUCCCGCUCUGCCACAACAUUCCGCUGUCCUCGAUCAAGGUCGAAACGAGCCUGAACAGUUCCACCAACGAGGUACACAUUCUGGCCAAAGUAAAGUGUGACGGCAAGACGGGCGUCGAGAUGGAAGCACUGACCGCGGUAUCGAUCGCCGCCCUGACCGUGUACGACAUGUGCAAAGCGGUGUCGCACGAGAUCCUCAUCAAGAACAUCAUGCUGGUGGAGAAAACCGGUGGCAAGAGCGAAUUCUACCGGAAGCAGAUCAAUCACGAGCCGACGCUCGAGUCGCGCACGAUGGAAUCACGCGACCCGGACCGGAUGCCCAUCGUAACGCGCGGCUACCGGACGGAUCCGAUCGUCACGAACGAACCGUUCGUGCCGAUGUACAUUUGAGCCGGGCGGGCCGCGAACAAGCAUCUCAAAGGCCAAAACUCAUCGAUUGAUUCUACAUCUAGCGUGUUAAGUGCGUGCGUGUGCCUUUAUUCAAAUUCGCUGUUGCAGUGCUAAGCGGCUCCUCACUCAGUACCGGUCGUCCACGUUCGUCGUUUGGCCCCAGUCGAGCGCCAUCUGGGUGGUGCCGCGCGAAAUGGUCUGCAAUCGUACCACCAGCUCACCGUAGGUCUCGCACGCGAGACCCUUGUGUUUGGAGCCGUCGGUCAGUAUCUUUGGAUCGCGCAUUUCCGGAUUAACGCCACUGAUCCAGCUCAUCGCCGCGGAACACAUGUUGGAGUACUUCGGGAUGAAGAGUGGUGCCCGUAGGGUACGUUCCGCCGACGUACCGUUGCCACCACCGCUCAGUGGACAGUGAACCCGUGCAUAGCCACGGUUGGUUUCCACGUUCCAGAUGUUCGCACCGUACAGGCUGAAGACGAUCUGGGGCCAACCGUACGGGUUGGUGGAUUUCAUCGUAAACUCUAUCGGCAUAUUAAACACCACCGUCCGGUAGUCGGAUUCCGUGCGUGCACUCUGGGUAACGGCGGACCGCAGCCCGGACACUAGCUCCCAAUCCGGACCGGCCACCAGAUCGUACCGACAGAACAGUCCACUGCCGUCCGGACCCAUCGGGAAGUAGGCCGACUCGAGCUGGCCCGUAACGGUUAGAUGGAAGAAAUUUUCACUCUCACCGGAUGUUAGCUGUAGUUCCAGCAUUCCAAGGCGUGAGUAGGGAGCACAAGGACAAACAACAAUAGAUCAGGACGACACAAAACUAACUCUCUCGAAACACGAACAAAAACACGAUGCAAACCCUCUGUUGUGUGUUUUGGUUGGCGGCACUGGUAACCAUUUCCAUGGCAACGCGCGCACACACCGCACGGUAUAGAACCAUAAGCUGCUUAGAUUUGGGGUAAUUAGUGGGUAGAAUAGUAAGUGAAGCACGGUUUUACACGACACGGACAUUGCGGACAGACUUAUAGCAUUUACACAAGCAACAACGAGCCUUUUGAGCCGUUUGUGUGUAGUCUCAGUAAGGUUCUUAUUUUAAUCCUAACAAUACAAAUAAAUCAUUAGAUCGUUAGCCGCAA